GUUCUUUCUAUGGAUGACUGUCAAGCUAACAAGACAUACAGAACAUUUCAACGUGAUUAAAUUCUGCGUACAACACAAAGCAAAUUUAAUUCCAUCCAUUUGCUACAUUUAUUCGAACCGAUUUUGUGUUUUCUGCUGACCGUGCAACACACACAAAGCAAG